AGCUCCAAUAGCGUAUCUUAAAGUUGCUGCAGUUAAAAAGCUCGUAGUUGGAUCUCGGGAUCGAGCUGACGGCCCGCCGCGAGGCGAGCUGCCGUCUGUCCCAGCCCCUGCCUCUCGGCGCCCCCUCGAUGCUCUUAGCUGAGUGUCCCGCGGGGCCCGAAGCGUUUACUUUGAAAAAAUUAGAGUGUUCAAAGCAGGCCCGGUCGCCUGAAUACCCCAGCUAGGAAUAAUGGAAUAGGACUCCGGUUCUAUUUUGUGGGUUUUCUCUCUCUGAACUGGGGCCAUGAUUAAGAGGGACGGCCGGGGGCAUUCGUAUUGUGCCGCUAGAGGUGAAAUUCUUGGACCGGCGCAAGACGGACGAAAGCGAAAGCAUUUGCCAAGAAUGUUUUCAUUAAUCAAG
rnacentral:rRNA from 1 species